rnacentral:ncRNA from 1 species
UGACUCAGCGCAGUAUGAAGUCUUUGUUUCUUCCGAAAACAAGCUCAAUGAGAGCCAUCGGGGGUAGAUCUAUCUCAUGACGAGUGGUGGAAUACUUUGACUCAUGAGAGAGAAGCUGAGGCGAAGGCGUCUACCUAGAGGGUUUCUGUCGAUCAAGGGCGAGAGUAGGAGUAUCCAACAGGAUUAGAGACCCUGGUAGUUCCUACCUUAAACGAUGCCGACAGGAGUUUGUCAUUUGUUAAUGGCAGAAUCUUUGGAGAAAUCAUAGUUCUUGGGCUCUGGGGGAACUACGACCGCAAGGCUGAAACUUGAAGGAAUUGACGGAAGGGCACACCAGGGGUGGAGCCUGUGGCUUAAUUUGAAUCAACACGGGGAAACUUACCAGGACCAGAUGUUUUUUAUGACUGACAGGCUUCGGGUCUUUCAGGAUAUUGUUUUUGGUGGUGCAUGGCCGUUGGUGGUGCGUGGGUUGACCUGUCUAGCGUUGAUUCAGCUAACGAGCGAGAUUAUCGCCAAUUAUUUACUUUGCCGAAGUCCUUCGGUUAAAGUUCUAAUUGGGACUCCCUGCGAUUUUAGCAGGUGGAAGAGGGUAGCAAUAACAGGUCCGUGAUGCCCUUUAGAUGCUCUGGGCUGCACGCGUGCUACAAUGUUAGGAUCAAUAGGACUGCGAGCCUGAGAGGGUGCGCUACUCUUAUAAUCCCUAACGUAGUUGGGAUUGACGUUUGUAAUCAGCGUCAUGAACCAGGAAUCCCUUGUAAAUGUGUGUCAACAACGCACGUUGAAUACGUCCCUGCCCUUUGUACACACCGCCCGUCGCUCCUACCGAUUGGAUGACUCGGUGAAAUCACCGGAUGCUUACGAGCAGAAAGUGAUUAAAUCACGUUAUCUAGAGGAAGGAGAAGUCGUAACAAGGUAACGGUAGGUGAACCUGCCGUUGGAUCAGUU